UACGUAGGGAGCAAGCGUUGUUCGGAAUUACUGGGCGUAAAGGGCGCGUAGGCGGCCUGCUAAGUCGAACGUGAAAUCCCCGGGCUCAACCCGGGAACUGCGUCCGAUACUGGCAGGCUUGAAUUCGGGAGAGGGAUGCGGAAUUCCAGGUGUAGCGGUGAAAUGCGUAGAUAUCUGGAGGAACACCGGUGGCGAAGGCGGCAUCCUGGACCGAAAUUGACGCUGAGGCGCGAAAGCCAGGGGAGCAAACGGG
rnacentral:rRNA from 1 species